rnacentral:rRNA from 1 species
CAGUAGCCACGGUAAUACGUAGGUGGCAAGCGUUGUCCGGAAUUAUUGGGCGUAAAGGGCUCGCAGGCGGUUUCUUAAGUCUGAUGUGAAAGCCCCCGGCUCAACCGGGGAGGGUCAUUGGAAACUGGGAAACUUGAGUGCAGAAGAGGAGAGUGGAAUUCCACGUGUAGCGGUGAAAUGCGUAGAGAUGUGGAGGAACACCAGUGGCGAAGGCGACUCUCUGGUCUGUAACUGACGCUGAGGAGCGAAAGCGUGGGGCGCGAACAGGAUUAGAUACCCCUGUAGUCCCUGUCUCUUAUAC